rnacentral:tRNA from 1 species
ACAAAACGCUAUAAAUUUUAUAGUUAUUUCUUCUUGUAAGAAAGAGUAUACCAUUUUG